GACGAACGCUGGCGGCGUGCCUAAUACAUGCAAGUCGAGCGAACGGACGAGAAGCUUGCUUCUCUGAUGUUAGCGGCGGACGGGUGAGUAACACGUGGAUAACCUACCUAUAAGACUGGGAUAACUUCGGGAAACCGGAGCUAAUACCGGAUAAUAUUUUGAACCGCAUGGUUCAAAAGUAAAAGACGGUCUUGCUGUCACUUAUAGAUGGAUCCGCGCUGCAUUAGCUAGUUGGUAAGGUAACGGCUUACCAAGGCAACGAUGCAUAGCCGACCUGAGAGGGUGAUCGGCCACACUGGAACUGAGACACGGUCCAGACUCCUACGGGAGGCAGCAGUAGGGAAUCUUCCGCAAUGGGCGAAAGCCUGACGGAGCAACGCCGCGUGAGUGAUGAAGGUCUUCGGAUCGUAAAACUCUGUUAUUAGGGAAGAACAUAUGUGUAAGUAACUGUGCACAUCUUGACGGUACCUAAUCAGAAAGCCACGGCUAACUACGUG
rnacentral:rRNA from 1 species